GGGCCAACAGGUGCGUUUGUUUCCUGACCUUUCUGAAAGAGCUUUUUAGACUUUUAGUCUUUCAAUAUUGUGCUUACAUGGUGCAUAUUUCUAAAUGAAUGUUGUUAAUCAGGCGACCACAAUAAAUCCAGUGCAGGUAAAGGUCCAGCACACGUUUCCUACAAUGACAGGCCUCCAGCCUCCGGCCUCCACCUGCAGCCUCCGCCAGCAAACCUCUAUCCUGUUGACACGUGGAGAUCUCAGUGAAACAGCAAGGACCAGAAACUAACAUGUAUAUACAUAGGUGCUGUGAAAGACUGAGCAAACACACAUCAACUGAAACCUGACUGACUGUGAUGCUAAACUUCAUCCACCAGAAGGAGCUCCUCUUCCUCACUCGCCUUUGAACGCUAGGUGGUGUUAAUAAGGCUGAUGUAUGGAAACUUUGUUGGACUUCCAUAUCUACCAGGACCUGAUCCGGGGCCUCUGAGGGCCUAAGAUAUUCCCAACAUCUUUUUUAAAUAUAUAUUUUUAAAAUAUAUUUGUAGUUAUAUUUUUCAUCAGUUUUACCAAAAUAACUUGAUUUAAUUGUAUCUAAAAUAACAUUUCCAAAGAAAUAAAUCCAUCGAAUCUGCCAGUUUCUGUUGGAAUGUGAAGGGUUAAAUGAAAGAAGCUCGUCUCUGCGAGUUUCUGUGAAGAUAGGAGCUGAUUGGUGGUCCUGCUAUGAGUUCACAGAGGGCCAGCUAGGGUAACUCAACGAGAGAGCAAUGUCAAGUGACAAUACAAUUGACCAAUCAUAUCUUCCCUCUAAAUGG